rnacentral:rRNA from 1 species
GACGAACGCUGGCGGCGUGCUUAACACAUGCAAGUCGAACGGAAAGGCCCUGCUUUUGUGGGGUGCUCGAGUGGCGAACGGGUGAGUAACACGUGAGUAACCUGCCCUUGCCUUUGGGAUAACUUCAGGAAACUGGGGCUAAUACCGGAUAGGAGCUCCGGCUGCAUGGGGGGGGUUGGAAAGUUUGGGCGGUUGGGGAUGGGCUCGCGGCUUAUCAGCUUGUUGGUGGGGUAGUGGCUUACCAGGGCUUUGGCGGGUAGCCGGCCUGAGGGGGUGACCGGCCAUAUGGGGAGUGAGAUAGGGCCGAGACUCCUGGGGGGGGGAGGAGUGGGAAAUAGUGCAAAGGGGGCGGAAGCGAGGUGGAGCAACGGCGCGUGGGAUAUGACGGCCUUGGGGGUGUAAACCGCUUUGGAGGGUGACGAAGCGUGGGGAAGGGAAAUGGAGAAGGAGGAACGGGCAAACUACGG